GCUGCGAGUGGGAUUCGCCAUUCCCAGACUCCAGCCACAAACUCCGAUCUCUGCCUUCUUAGAGCAGAGAGGCCAUUCCUCUCCACGUGGUCUCACCUCCCUGCACCCUAACUGAAACCUGGGAGUGAGGGGAAAGAGGAGCUCAGGUCAUGUGCCUCCCGCCUCUCAAGGAUGGCAGCCUUGCGCUGGCUGUAGCAGAAUACCGGAAAAGAUCUGCCUAAGGUGGUUAAUCUGUGUGCGGGCAGGUGGGCUGAUGCAGAACCCCCUGUGGCUGGAGCAGGUCUUCACCGGUCAAGGCACAUCCAGGUUGAUUCCUCUUCUGGAGGCUUCACAAUACCUGCUCCAGGAGUGGCUCAUCCAGUCACAAAGCUCACCUCCUCUCCCUCCUCCAGGAAGAAUUCCAGUGCCAUAUUAUUUCAUUUCCACUCCACAAAUCCAACAUAGUUAAUUGGGUUUGAUAUUAAUGAGCUUGUACAGCUAAAACAUGGAAAUAUAAUAACUACUGUUGAUCGAUCUUUCAGCCCCGUCACGAAGGGCCCUCGUAACUGGACCUCAUGCCAAACAACUCGUUACAAAAAGAGCUAGGGUCUCAGACCACGCAGAAGCUUCAUGAGACCCCUCCUUGUCUGCAUGGACAAGUGGUCGACUCUGGAUCCCAAGAUGUUGCUUCCCAGUUUGGUGGUGAAUCCUCCAUAGUCUGCUAACUGAAAGGCUCAACACUCCAGUGAAGAAGAAACCACAAAUGAUGAACAAAUGUUUUGUCACUCUUUCAGAUUCAGAAAUUUUGCUUGAAAAAAGUCUGAAGAAACUAAUUUAGGAAAGAAACCUCUGCCAAUAACUCUAAAGAGUUUGAAUUGGUUGCCUUUAUUCCUAACACUAUGAUGUUUUGGGAUAGGAACUAGUAGAUGGUAUUUUUUCUUUCCCAUUGGCAGUAUAUCAUUUACAACAGAUGUUCCCGACUCAGGAUAAAAUGUAACUGGCAGCCAGAGUCACCCACCAGCCCCUGAGGAAAGGGCUCAACCUUGAGAACAUCUGGCUGGCUUCAAGAAGGUCACACAAAUACAAGAUGAUGCUGAGGAUAAGACAAGUGGUUUUGAGAGAGGAAAACCUUUAAAAAUAUUUGGAAGAGUCCUGAAGACCAAUAAAAUAAAGACACUGCAAUACUUCAUGGACACCAGAGAGCAAUUUAACACUGAAAUGAAAGCAACAUGUUGCACCUGAACACUGAAAAAAGCCCAUGUGUUAAGAGGAAGAAGAAAUAUGCAAUUCACUGCAAUAAAUAUUGAACCUUUAAAAAACAGAAGGAACAUGAAAACUAAAGGACACUGGGCCACAGCAAAUAAGGUGGCGGCAGCCAUCCCAUAAUGAUUACAUGAUCUCCAUGAUUGUAAAAUGUAUAUGCCACCUGAAUUUAUUCUUAGACCUUCUCUCAAAGAUGUCUGCAUUCAACACAGGCAAUAACUGCAGGUAAUAGUGAAGAAUCCUUCAGGCAUGAUAGAGGAACAGACUAAGUGUGGGAAAAGGAAGAACUAGGCCGGGCGCGGUGGCUCACGCCUGUAAUCCCAGCACUUUGGGAGGCCGAGGCGGGCGGA
rnacentral:lncRNA from 1 species